UACGGGGGGGGCAAGCGUUGUUCGGAAUUACUGGGCGUAAAGAGCUCGUAGGCGGCUUAGUAAGUCGGGUGUGAAAACUCUAGGCUCAACCUAGAGACGCCACCCGAUACUGCUAUAGCUAGAAUCCAGUAGGGGAGUGUGGAAUUCCCAGUGUAGCGGUGAAAUGCGCAGAUAUUGGGAGGAACACCAGCGGCGAAGGCGGCACUCUGGGCUGGUAUUGACGCUGAGGAGCGAAAGCGUGGGUAGCGAACAGG
rnacentral:rRNA from 1 species